GUGAUACACCUACCACGGCACCAUGCCUGACCAAUCAUUUAUUUUAUCUAUAAGUGAAAUUCGUUCACAGAGAAACUUUGGUCAUUCCUGAUGGCAAAACUUCAUGCGGGUCUUGCUCUGUCACCAGCUUGCAAUGCAGUGGCACAAUCAUGGCUCACGAUGGCCUCAACCUCUUGGACUCAAGCCAUCCUCCCACCUCAGCCUCCAGAGUAGCUGGGACUAUAAGCGCAUGCCACCAUGCGCAGCUAAUUUUUGUAUUUUUUAUAGAGACAGGGUCUAAGUUGCCCUGGCAGGUCUCAAACUCUUGGGUUCAAAUUAUCCUCCCCCUUAGACUUCCCAAAUAGCUGGGAUUAAAGGUGCAAGCCACCAUGCCUGGUGGCUUAUGCUUAGUUUAUGCUUAUACAAACAUAUCUAUAUAUGUAUCUAUACAAGUUUGUAUCAUUUCCUCCCUUUUAGUAGAAAUUGUAGCAUACUAUUAGGUAAUUGUUUUGUGUUAAAAAAUGCACAUGACAUAGAUUGAAGAUCAUCUCAUAAAAGUACAAAGAGCUUUCUCAGUCUUUUUAAAAGCUUUCAUAAGAUUUCAUUUUAUGCCUAUAUCAUGAUUUAUCAGUCCUUUACUAAAGAAUAUUUGUAUUUGAAAUAUAUCUUAUUAUAAACAAUGCUGAAAUAAACAAGGUUGUAGAUACAUACCAUUUCUCCUGUGUGUUGUAAGAUAAACUCUUUUUUUUUUUUUGAGACAGAGUCGCGGUGCGUUGCCCAGGCUGGAGUGCAGUGUCACAAUCUCGGCUCACUGCAAACUUCGCUUUCCAGGUUCAAGGGAUUCUCCUGCCUCAGCCUCCCAAGUAGCUGGGAUUACAGGCGCCUGCUAUCAUGUCUGGCUAAUUUUUGUAUUUUUAGUUGAGACAGGGUUUCACCAUGUUGGCCAGGCUGGUCUCCAACUCCUGACCUCAGGUGAUCUGCCCGCCUCGGCCUCCCCAAGUGCUGGGAUUGCAGGCAUGAGUCACCGUGCCACCACGCAGGGCCAAGAUAAACUCUUAUACGUAUAGUUGCAAUAUUGUUAGGUAUCCUGACCUUCCCCCUAGGGAGGUCAUUAUAAUUUACAUUUACAUUUUCAUUGUGACUGCUAGUCUACACUUUUACCAACACUGUGAUUAUCAAACUUUCUAAUCUUUGACAAUCUGAUAAGUGAAAAAAUGGUUUCUCAAUACAGUUGCAAUUUGCAUUUUCUUAUGGAGGAAAAAAAAUUGAGCCAACUUUUUUUUUUUUUUUUAGAAUAAAGAGCCACAAAGUUAUGUGAGUUAUUAUUUUAUCCUUAAUAUUGCUCCUGGAGUCUGUAGCAGGUCAGCAUCAGAGUUCAGAGAUCAGGAACAUGGCAACAUGCCCAGAACCAAGAUGAAAAGAAAAGCCAAUAGGCCCCAUUUCAUGAAUAUUUGCCUUGAGGAGUCCCUGAAGAUGUCCCUAGAAGUUAACUUCUGUUUUUAUGUGGAGACAAUUAGAAGCUAAGUUUCAGAUUCCCCAAUGCCUGCGUAAGUAGCUCUAAUUACUUAGCAGAGCAUUGUAUGUUUCCCCCCUUCAAACCACCUGACACAAAAAUGAAGUAAAACAGGUUCUAUAUUUAUAGAUAUAACUAAGCCACACAAUAGGAUUGUGGGGUUUAGACCAAAUCAUCUAGGUCACAUCAGGGUUAUAAAGAUUAAAUGAUAUGUUUCACACAAGAACUAUUCUGCUUAGGGAUGGAGGCUUGUUGCUAAUUAGCAUAAUUGCCUCGUGACUUGCGGAAACUAUGUCAGCGUUUUGUUUUGUUUUUGUGUGCUUUUUCAGAGGGAGACUCAUCUGGUGGUGUUAAAUACUAUAUCUAUUUAAAAUUAAUCACAUGCCUUUCCUAACAACACGGAUCAUGCUAGUUGCAUCUAUCUUUACAACAGGGAUUUCUGAAGCAAAUGAGAGGUGUCAUUAUGUAAUGGAAUUAAAAGAGAAGAUUAGGAGUUAGGCUGGCUGGGUUUGCACUUGCCCUCACUGGCUGUGUGACCUUGCGCUAGUCACUUGACCUUUCUGAGCUUCAAUUCCUCAUUUGAAUAAUGGAGAUAAUCUGACCUAUAUACCCCUGGGUUUUGUAGUCAGGAAAUAAUGGAUCAUUGUACAUAUGAAAAGUCUUUACAACUAUCAAUGGCAAGACAUCUGUCAGUUAUUCUAAUAUUCAUGGUAUAGAAAACUGUGAAAUACAGAGUCCUUACGUCUAUUCUCCAAAAAAGUUCACUUCUCUUUAAAAGCUUUUAGCAAACCACAAUCCAGGUAAUUAAAAAGGAAAUAUUAAAAUUUUGUUCUCAGGUUGUCUGACAUUUCACGGUUCAGCAAUGUGACAUCUCUCACAGGCAGAAUAGCAUCUUCGGACAAGUUUUCUAUUAAAAAUAUGCUUUAUAGAAGAAAAUAUUUUACGGACCUAGAAGACAGCUGUCGAUGAAAUUUGCUCAGUUUAGCAAACAGCAAGGACUGUGUUUGUGUUUAGAGAAAAGUAGGUCGAGCCUAGUUUAUCUCCCUGGGGUUCUAGACUCCUUUCCACGUUGUAUCUCAAGCUCUAAUAGCUGGAAAGCUACUUUCUUUAACCUUUAAUACACACUUGCUAGUAAACUUGCUAGAAGCAUGAAGAUAAUACAGACUGCGAAUCAGCCCUUCUAAGAGACAAUCACGACUCCUUCCUUGCAAGCUUCCGCCCUGAUAAUUCUGCAACCUUCCCACCUUCUAUACGCCCCGCGGUGCGAGGCCCCUCGGCCUGCAGGUGGCCAGAGGCAAGCAGGAGUCAGAUCCCCCACCUACCGCGGCCCGGCCUGGGCCCUAGCGCUGGGUGCGGCGGAG
rnacentral:lncRNA from 1 species